UACGUAGGGUGCGAGCGUUGUCCGGAAUUACUGGGCGUAAAGAGCUCGUAGGUGGCUUGUCGCGUUGUUCGUGAAAACUCACAGCUCAACUGUGGGCGUGCGGGCGAUACGGGCAGACUGGAGUACUGCAGGGGAGACUGGAAUUCCUGGUGGUAGCGGUGGAAUGCGCAGAUAUCAGGAGGAACACCGGUGGCGAAGGCGGGUCUCUGGGCAGUAACUGACGCUGAGGAGCGAAAGCGUGGGGGAGCGAACAGGA
rnacentral:rRNA from 1 species